rnacentral:SRP_RNA from 1 species
CUGUACUAGAUGGGGAGUUAGCGGUGCCCUGUAACUCGCAAUCCGCUUUAGCGAGGUUGAAUUCCAUCCUGAGGCAAAUGUUCUGUAGUGCAGUCUCAAAUAAGUAGUGUUGAUAUAUGGGUCCCAAGCAAUGGAAGCUCAUGAACCCCGUCAGAUUCGGAAGAAAGCAGCGGUAAGUGAUUCCUUUCAUGUGACUUGGGGAUGCCUAUAGGGAGCCAACUGUUUGGGCAACGGUUAUUGGCAUUUGUCAAUGGAUGGUGUGCAG